rnacentral:misc_RNA from 1 species
AACAACAUACAAGUCCUUCAUUCAAAAGUUUGGGUUGUUUGGUCUGACAGAAAGAGUUUAUUUAUUUACAAUGGAUGAAACAAGAGAGGAGUUGGAUCGAACAUUGGCCCGUUUGGAGGCUGUUUGGGAUGACAUUGGUCUGAAUGAAGAACAGCGCAAAGAACGGCGUCAUCAUUUUAAUGGUCACAUUGUAAAUUUGUGUGAAAAGAUAAUUGACGAUGAAACAGCUUUAAAGACAAGAAUCACAAACAACAUUGAACGUAAUACUCAAGAGAUCUUAAAACUUAGUGAGGGUCUUGGAAUAGUCCCAGAGGAUGCUGUGGAUGGUAUGACAUUAUUGGAAUUGGACACAUUACUUCAAGAAAGAGUGGAUCACCUACUUCAGUUGAAGGAACAGCGGAUGGACACUCUCAGGCUUUUGCAAGAAAAAGAUGAAGGAAUCUGUGAAUUACUUUGUGAGACUCCAUAUUACAUUCCUGCUGGCCUGAUCCCAUCACUUGAAGAUAUAAAGAGUGUAGAAGAUCAUGUGAAAACAAUGGAAACAGAGAAGGAAGAACGAGAGAAGAAUUUUCGAAGUCUGAAGGCAGGCAUACUGAAAUUCCUCGAGCUUUUAGAACAGCCACCAGAAGAUUCUUUCUGCCAAGAUAUUAUUUGCUCUGAGGAUGACGAUUUCCCCCUCGGAAAAGCCUACUUACAACAGAUGAGGGGUGUUCACAGUGACCUUGAGUUCCGUGUCCAUGAAAAUGAAGUGAAAUCAUUGGAGCUACGUGAGAAAAUCAACUGGCUGUGGAUUGCGUUAGAAAUACCAGUAGAAGAACAGCAAGCUUUUCUCUCCACGGCACCUAAGCACACACCAUCAAAUAUUGCGAAGCUAGAGGAAGAGCUGGAGAGACUCAGGUUGCUACGCCUUCAAAAUUUGUCUGUUUUCAUAGAGAAACUUCAAGAAGAACUAGCUACUUCUUGGGAAAAGUGCUAUGUUGGAGAGGAAGAAAGGAAAAAGUUUCUGGAUCAGCAGCCAGAUGAUGCAAGUGAAGAAGUUUUAGAUGCUUAUGAAAAAGAAGUUCAUAAGUGGAAACAGCACUAUGAAGCCAACAAGGAUAUUUAUAUACUGGCUUCACAGUUUAUGGAUCUUUAUAAUCACAUGUUGGAGUUAGAGGAACGAGCUAAGGACCCUAGCCGUCUUUUCAACACAAGAGGUGGGGCCCUACUGCUUGAAGAAAAGGCCAAGAAGAAAGUGAGGACUGAGCUCCCGAGAGUUCAAGAAAGCUUGCUUGAAAGUGGCAGAGUUUGGGCUGAGCAGGAGGGAAGAUCUUUCCAUAUUAAUGGGGUGCCUUUGGAAGAUUAUAUCCGAGUGCUGUGGGAAAACUAUGAUGUGAAAAAAGAAGCAGAAAAGAAUAAAAGACAAGUAAAAGGGGCCCAGGAGGUUAAACGCCCAGGUUUACAUAAUCCCAAAACUCCAGCUGCACUCACAAAUACUAAGAAAAGAUGUCGUGAAGGUGAAGAUACAGCAAGCACAAAGAAGAUGAAGCCGGGUGUAUCACUGUUCAAGUCACCUUCAAAAUCAACUCUUCGCUCACCUACAAAGACUCCCAGAACCAGACCACUUACAGAGCGCAAUGCCCUGCUCUGUCCACCACCAAUUUCAUCCAGUGACACAAGUCUACAUUCCACCAUCUCAUAUGAUAAGUUUGAAGACAACUUAAGAAGUAGCAGAGAAUGUCUCAACAGUACAACUCUUGACCAGGCUAGUUCAGAAGCAGAAAGGUCAUUCUUAUAGCUUUUGUCUAUGCUUUAACCACUAACUGUCUUCGUGUCUGUCUGGGUCCUAAAGGCUGGUAUUGACGAAAGGUGUAAUGAAGAAAUAAUUCACUCAUCACUCAUGGAUGACCCAUCAUCUAAAAGAAGUACUCCACCAGAGGAUCAGAUGAGAGUUCGAAGAUUGAGGGAAACCCUUAAUCUUGCAUCUCCACAC